rnacentral:rRNA from 1 species
UAAGGAAUAUUGGUCAAUGGGCGCAAGCCUGAACCAGCCAUGCCGCGUGCAGGAAGACGGCCCUAUGGGUUGUAAACUGCUUCUGUCAGGGAAUAAACCCCCGCUCGUGAGCGGGGCUGAAGGUACCUGAAGAAUAAGCAUCGGCUAACUCCGUGCCAUCAGCCGCGGUAAUACGGAGGAUGCAAGCGUUAUCCGGAUUCAUUGGGUUUAAAGGGUGCGCAGGCGGAUUGGUAAGUCAGGGGUGAAAUCCCACAGCUCAACUGUGGAACUGCCUUGGAUACUGUCAGUCUAGAGUAUAGUUGAAGUGGGCGGAAUGUGUCAUGUAGCGGUGAAAUGCUUAGAUAUGACACAGAACACCGAUCGCGAAGGCAGCUCGCUAAGCUAUAACUGACGCUCAUGCACGAAAGCGUGGGGAUCAAACAG